GGUCACGAGCUCUAAUCGAUAGCCCCGGCUGAUUAGACGGCAACCCUCCACCGCGGUGGGGUGCUCCGGGUGACGACCAGGUUUGCAUCACACGAUGUGAGCAAGUGCGUGAA
rnacentral:ncRNA from 1 species